ACAUACAUCAGCUGUGUACACCUUAUCAUAAAUAGAUAAUACAUACUUCUACAACGACAUAUUAUCUGAAAUAUUCUAAGACCCACAUCAACCUUAGUCAUCAGUGUCAUCACCAGGCUUGCCAUCAAUACAAUCCUAAUUAGCACUUACAUUGGCAUUAUAUUAAUGGAGUAGUUUAUUUAAAAAGUAAUUAAGGAACGUCGAGUUGACUUGUUACUCUUUCGUAAUUUGAAGAAAUUUAAUUAGGUAGGAAAUAUUCUUGCUUUGAUAAAUGUUGCCUUUGAUAUUAUAAUGUAUUGUCGAAAAGAGAGAGAAAUUAGAAGUGAUGAAUGGCAAUUUAUUUGAAUGCCUAAUUUCUUAGUAAGUACAUAUGCUUAAGUUUUUAUAAAUGCCGGUUUACACAAUGGAUGAAGAAGAACAACAAUGACACUAUUCCCGUACUGUUUCUUCAUUCAGUUGUACAAUUUUCAAAAGUUUGAUUUUUUCCGCCACGGUGCUAUUCAGUCCACACUUUUUAGGGCCGACGGUCGUUUUGGAAUGUCAUCAAUCACUGACAAGCGAAAGAACUCGGACCUUUGCAUAAAAACGUAUUCAAUGUCUUUAUGGAUUUAUUUUUAUUUCAGACUGGGUAUAAUCUACAUUAAAACAGAUCUACCCUUUGAUGUAGCCAUGUUACCCUGAAGGCAAAUACGAAAUAAUAUUCUAUAACAUUAUGAACAACCUUUUAUAUAGAAAUCUACAAUUAGAAAAUAUUCGUUUCAUGUUUUAAUUUACCUCAUUCAGACAACAAUGAAAUUGUGGGGGACAAUGGGCACCGGACAUCGUGUGGACUACCAUAAGGCGGAGCAAUUAGCAAGACGGCAGAUCAAUGAACACGUAAAAAAAAUAACAAACGGGCCUCGGAGCCAGCUUUGAAGUGAAAUUACACGGCGAGCCGGGGCGACGGAGCUUUUUCAUUAACAACUUGGAAAAUUUAGGCCAGAGGAGACACAGACAACGCAAACAAGACGCAGAUAUGGAUGGUAGAUCUGACAGACAUCUUUGUAAACUGAAUCAUGUAUUUUAAGAUUAACUGUUGUAUUUUUGUGCAACGGUAGACUAUGAAGGUUAUUUAACUUAAUAUUUAGGUACCCAAAUAACAUUAUUGUGCUAAUUUUCGAAUAGUUAGCAGUAAAACUAAACUUGUUGGUUGGUAUACGAACUUGCAUAUCAUUUGCUUAAGGCUAGGGCAAUAGCACCAUCAGGUUCGCAAAUUGGACACGUCCUGCCGUCGAUCGUCACUUUGAGUUUU